AUUGAACGCUGGCGGCAGGCCUAACACAUGCAAGUCGAGCGGAUGAAGGGAGCUUGCUCCUGGAUUCAGCGGCGGACGGGUGAGUAAUGCCUAGGAAUCUGCCUGGUAGUGGGGGAUAACGUCCGGAAACGGGCGCUAAUACCGCAUACGUCCUGAGGGAGAAAGUGGGGGAUCUUCGGACCUCACGCUAUCAGAUGAGCCUAGGUCGGAUUAGCUAGUUGGUGGGGUAAAGGCCUACCAAGGCGACGAUCCGUAACUGGUCUGAGAGGAUGAUCAGUCACACUGGAACUGAGACACGGUCCAGACUCCUACGGGAGGCAGCAGUGGGGAAUAUUGGACAAGGGGCGAAAGUCUGAUCCAGCCAUGCCGCGUGUGUGAAGAAGGUCUUCGGAUUGUAAAGCACUUUAAGUUGAGAGGAAGGGCAGUAAGUUAAUACCUUGCUGUUUUGACGUUACCAACAGAAUAAGCACCGGCUAACUUCG
rnacentral:rRNA from 1 species